rnacentral:rRNA from 1 species
AACGAACGCUGGCGGCAGGCUUAACACAUGCAAGUCGAACGCACCGCAAGGUGAGUGGCAGACGGGUGAGUAACACGUGGGGAUCUGCCCAAUGGUACGGAAUAGCUCCGGGAAACUGGAAUUAAUACCGUAUACGCCCUACGGGGGAAAGAUUUAUCGGGGAAGGAUUGGCCCGCGUUGGAUUAGCUAGUUGGUGGGGUAAAGGCCUACCAAGGCGACGAUCCAUAGCUGGUCUGAGAGGAUGAUCAGCCACAUUGGGACUGAGACACGGCCCAAACUCCUACGGGAGGCAGCAGUGGGGAAUAUUGGACAAUGGGCGCAAGCCUGAUCCAGCCAUGCCGCGUGAGUGAUGAAGGCCUUAGGGUUGUAAAGCUCUUUCACCGAUGAAGAUAAUGACGGUAGUCGGAGAAGAAGCCCCGGCUAACUUCGUGCCAGCCGCCGCCGUAAAAC